rnacentral:misc_RNA from 1 species
UUUUGUCUUUCGAUUGGUUACCCGGGACUUGUGCGCCCAGUCCUCCACCCCGCCCCGCCCUCUGCGCGUCAAUCUGCGGCGGUGCUCUCCCCUACCGUUCUUUCUGUGCUGCAGUGCACCCCCUUUGAGGACACCGCCUCCUCGUAUCGCUCCACCGGAGAAAGACGCAGCGGCUGAAGAGACGUGCGCGAACACAAAAAACGCAGCGCAGAGACCACUGGAGUUGGCUCAUCAUGCCGGUCUUCCACGCUGUCAUGAGCGUGAAGGAGUCGGAGGGGGUCGAGCGUAUCGCACCUGUCAAGAACCGCGCGUGGGGCUUGCGUUUUCAAUGCGCCUCGUGCAACGAGGAGUCGGCUGGGAUGAUGUACGUCAACCAGACGGAGCAGCACGAGCGCGAUGGCGGCAUGCACAACUUCGUAUCCAAGUGCAAGCUCUGCAAGGCGGACAUCACGGCCGACGUGCUCCCUGUCCCGGAGGGCACCGGCUACUACAGCGCGGAGGAGGAAAACCCGGCCAACGUGAUUGCGGCCUUCGAGGUGCGCGGUGGCCGGCCAGUGGAGCUGGAGAUCGACAACCAGUGGAUUGUUGUCACGGUCGGCGGUGGCUUGUUCGAGGAUGUCGACCUGUCACAGGAGUGGUACGACUAUGAUGAGAGCUCGCAGGCGGCCGUGAGUGUGGCAGGCGUGUCGGUAGAGUUUGAGAAGUCGAAGAAGAAGUGAGGGAGGGAUGGGUGUACGACGUGCUCGAGCUCUCCCUCUGCCAGCCUCGUCCUCUCUCUCACUCGGUGGUGGUUCUCUGUUUCUUCGCAUGGCUUUCUCGGAUCCGUACGCUGGUUCGAAUCGGAGGCGUCGCGGUGCGCAUAUGGAUGUGCGCGCUUCUCGGCAGAUGGACAGGAGGCAGAGGUACGUGUCUUCCGAAAUCACAUAGCUGCAUGCAAGCGCCCGCAUCGUUUUUCCUCUCCUCGUUUCCGUUUGUUUUGCGGCUGCCGCGGUGACGAUGCGGCGCCUCGCCGCGCGGUGUCGUGGCAUCCAGCGCACACACACAUACACACAAACUCUGUGCGUGGGAAAGCCAAGCGGUCCCUCCCCUCCCCUCUUCACCCCUGCCAAUGCAGAGCCACUUCCGGUGGUGACAGGGCUAGGCCCCCUACGGCGUAGGAGGAGGGGGGGAAGGGCAGCGCGAUGUAUCGCCACUGGUCUCGGCGGCCAGGCCGUGGAUGGCGGGGCGCCGGAGCGGCCUGUGACCGUGCACACGCUUGUGCCACCCCAUGUGAUGGGCGAAGCGUAAACGCGACUCAAGCGUGUGCCCCACCCCCGGCCCUCACGCAUCGCCUGCUGGUUGUGGGUAGAGUGUGAGGCGGAGGGGCCGUGCUCUCAGAUGACGGAGUCGGGGCAUUGUGCCGUGACACCUGCGCGUCUGCGGCUGCUUCGCACCACGCGGAUGGGCUGCCUGUGACACAGGGCCGCGCAGGGGCUGUCGCGUGGCGCAUGGCCGCAUGCGGUGCGGAGCAGGGCCAUGGGGCUCACGCUGCGAAGCGAAUGUCCGUGCUGCCGUCUGAGCGGCGGCACCCGCAGUUGUAAAAGGAAAACGAAUUUGAAUGUGAGCACGACAACGUGCACAUUCGUCUUUUACACACAUCGCGGCUGACGUGUCUUUUUUUUCAUUGAAGCACCUUAGCUGCGCGUGGGCGUUUGACUCGCCCUGCUGGU